rnacentral:rRNA from 1 species
UACGUAGGGGGCAAGCGUUAUCCGGAUUUACUGGGUGUAAAGGGCGUGUAGGCGGGCCUGCAAGUCAGAAGUGAAAUCCCAUGGCUUAACCAUGGAACUGCUUUGGAAACUGUGCAGCUGGAGUGCAGGAGAGGUAAGCGGAAUUCCUAGUGUAGCGGUGAAAUGCGUAGAUAUUAGGAGGAACACCAGUGGCGAAGGCGGCUUACUGGACUGUAACUGACGUUGAGGCUCGAAAGCGUGGGGAGCAAACAGG